AGGACCACUUGAUUCCACACUAAAAGGGCCGGGAAUCGUGGUUGCCCGACUCAAGUCGCCCGCGCGUGUCGCGGAGCCCCGCGGCAGUUGUGGUUGGGUGGCUUCUGUGGUCCAAGGAGGAAUGAGCCAAAUUGCUACAGAAGUUGAGUCAACCCACUGCCCUCAAAUCCUGAGAUGUAUUCCCAGUGGGAAAAGGAACACUCCUUCAGGACUUUGUACCCCAAAUUCCACGAGACCCACAGACACCCUCAGCCCAGCCCAGCUCCAGGACAGACCAUAAUGAAAGAUGCUUUACCUUGAAAACUAAAUGGACAGGACUUGAUCACAAAGCAUCACCUCUCCCCUGGACUCCAGAGGAUCGUUCCUAACUGCUUACUUGACACAUCUAUUAGGUAUCUCAAACUGGAAGGUCUAAAACUGAACUCUCCCUCCUCCAUAAUCUGCCUCCCCUUAGCCUUCCCUUUGUCAGUAAAUGAUGAGUUUUUUCCU
rnacentral:lncRNA from 1 species